ensembl:snRNA U6 U6 spliceosomal RNA
GUGUUUACGUUUGUAGCACAUGUACUAGAAUUGUAAUGAUACAGAGAAACUUAGUAUAGUCCCUGUACAAGGCUGACACACAAAUUUGCAAAGCAUUCCAUAUGUUA